rnacentral:rRNA from 1 species
CCCGCAAGGGGAGUGGCAGACGGGUGAGUAACGCGUGGGAACAUACCCUUUCCUGCGGAAUAGCUCCGGGAAACUGGAAUUAAUACCGCAUACGCCCUACGGGGGAAAGAUUUAUCGGGGAAUGAUUGGCCCGCGUUGGAUUAGCUAGUUGGUGGGGUAAAGGCCUACCAAGGCGACGAUCCAUAGCUGGUCUGAGAGGAUGAUCAGCCACAUUGGGACUGAGACACGGCCCAAACUCCUACGGGAGGCAGCAGUGGGGAAUAUUGGACAAUGGGCGCAAGCCUGAUCCAGCCAUGCCGCGUGAGUGAUGAAGGCCUUAGGGUUGUAAAGCUCUUUCACCGGAGAAGAUAAUGACGGUAUCCGGAGAAGAAGCCCCGGCUAACUUCGUGCCAGCAGCCGCGGUAAUACGAGGGGGGCUAGC